ACUGUAUCCCAGAGAUACAUGGUGUCUGAUCUGCCAAUCAGAUGACUUAGGCCUGGAAAGCAGAGGAAAGAGCCUUGUCCUAGAACCCCACAGUCUUGUCUCAUCUCUCCUGUGAUUUCUAUCUGAGCCCCGGGCUCCACUUCUGCAAAAUAGAGUAAUAAUAAUCCUUAUCUGCGGGCCUGUCUAAAGUUCUUUUUUUCAGAGUUUUGCCCAUGAUCCAUACUGAGUUCCCCAGGUUUGAGGAGCUAGUAGCUCCUCCAAUGAGGGGCUGGAAGUUCAGCUUCCCUAACAUUUCUCCAGACACGUCCAUGAUGAGAUUUUGGAGGUCUAACACAAGUCUAGCACAUCCUCAACAGAGUCCUCUUCUCAUACAACCCAGAGUAUCCCCACUUGGCUUCAACUUAAGCACCUUUGCUUUUAUGAUUUUACUUAUUUACAUUUCCUGGUAAAAAAAAAAUUGUUGAAAGCACACAGAAGAUUCUAUGACUAAAAGAAUUUCAAACAUUGAUCCAACCAGGAAGUUGAGACCUAGUGAGUCACACACAAGCACCUGCCAAGGGGUAGAGUAGCAUUGAAGAAGCCUCCCCUGAACCCAGGGGCCAGGGCAGGCUUGCAGUGAAGGCCCAGGCAGUGUAAUGGUCCCUCUGAGGUGGGUAAUGGAGCCAUAGGGGCAUAGGGAGGGUUCCAUUAACACAGAAGGUCGGCGGGGGGGCAAAGCCCUGGCCUUGGCUCCCCCCACCCCUGCAUUAGGAGGCUUCCUGUCUUUUCAACCCUGUGGAGGCAUUUGGCUCAUGCAGACCUUCUCAUCUUUCCUCUUUCGACUUCUCUCAUUUCCCCUGAGAAAACCUGCUCUGAGAAUCAGUGCCGGGAGUAGAGCCUCUCCCUAGUUCCGGCUCCAGCCUGGCUGGGGUGAUGUCUCUGUCACCCCUCACUGCCAUCCGAACACCUUCAAACUGAAGCCUUCUGCCUUUCAGUGGCCAUGCUGAGCCCUCGACCACCUCCUGCCUAACAUUUGCUGCUCCUUCUCCCUGCGUGUCCCCUUUAUGCUUCUCUGCCUUUGACCUCCACUUUCUGGUUCAUUGCUUUCCCCGUUCCAGGUGCUCUGCCUUUGCCAUGUUGCUGUCCCUCUCAGUGUCUAUUUCCCCCCUCUAAAAGGGAUCUCUAACAAGGAUCUCUCAAGGGCAGGCAGAGAGAAUGCUGUACACAGUUAUGUCCAGUACUCAGUACCGUCCUUGUCAUGUGGCCAGCUUCUGUAUCUGUGGCCAUGUGAGGCAGCUAUGACUCUCCUGGUGCCCAGUGACCAGUCAUGUAUUUGGGCGUGGGUGUCGGGUGACCUAGCAUUGUUAGAGGCCAUCCUGGAGCCAGAAGAGAGAGAAGAACCAGUCCUGUAAAGACCCCAGGUAAAGUGGGUAAUGCCGUUGACCUAGCCAGUGGGUGCUCAGAUGAAAAGGCUAUGGAGGAGGAGGACGACCCAGGGCAGCACAGAAGAAGUGCUCAGUGAAUCUGGGUUCUGCAUGGCUGCUGCUGGAGACAGCACAAGCUGAAUGGGCCCUGCCUGGCUCCUUGGAAUCCCCUUCAGGCCAGCCUGCCUUCCCUGCCAGGGCUGGAGCCCUACCAGCCAGUGCUGACAACAGCAGCCCGUUGUUGGCUUAGAAGCAGAAGUCCUGCUCCACCCUGCCAGAUGCACAGCUAAGUUGGCUGCACCCCGUCUUGUGGCUCCCCACCCUUAGGAUCUUUUCUACCUGACAGCCAGCCCCAGCUCUCCUUCCUUGUCCAAAAUCCUUUAUUUGUAUUGCUCUUCAAAAAGAAAUUAGGUGUUUUCUGAAAUUUCCCAAGUGCCUGCUGGGAACAGGGCCUAGUAAGGAGAUCUGCUGAGGGCAGAGAUGAGGCAGAGGGAAUCAAACAGCCAGCCCAGGGCUGGGCAGGAAGUGGCCAGGCAGGAGCUGUGGCCCCACUUCUGAGGCAGCCACACUCUGCCAGUUCAAUCCAGUCUCAAGGAUUAAACAACAUUUUGUUCUUGUUUGACUCUUGAAAUAACGACCCUUCAUUGCCCGGCAUUUGAAAAACACUGAAAAAUAUAAAACAGAAAAUAAACACCCCUGCCCACCCUGAUUUACACAGGUAGUAGAUGUUAAGAGUUUGAUGGGUUGUCUUUGCAUGCUGACCUAGUCAUAAUGUAUGUGUAAUUUUGUGUCCUGCUUUUUGUCAUUCAUUAUAAUAGUGCAAAAUAUUUCUGGGUUUUUUUCAAGUCAGCCAGUUAAAUUCUAAUUCCAUUAGUUUCAGCCCAUCAUUUAACAACAAUCUUUAAUUUUAGUGGAGAUUUAGCUGCCCCUUCCCAGGAUAGAGUGGUGCUGGUAACAGCCAGAAGGAGGAAGAAGGAGAGCAGGAAAAGAAAGAGGAAGAAAAGUGAUAGAAGGAGACCAGACUGAGACCAUGCACAUCUAUCCUCUCUGCCUUUCUCUCCUCUGCCUCCUGCUAAAUAUUUCUCAGUAUUAGGGCAGUAACCCUACUGUCAGAGUCACUCAGGCCCACCUCAUGUUCUUCUGAGUCUUUCACUUGCUUACUCCUCCUACCCAACCCAAAAGAGAAGGGUGCUCAGUCUCUGCUGGGGUAAAAGCCUUCCUCUACAGGGCCAGCACUAUAUGCCUUGGGCAGCAAAGACCCUGUCCCAGAUACCCUGCUUCCACUUGGCUCCUCUGCACACUUGUCAUAUGACCUGAUUUCCAGGGCUUUGUAGCCUGGUCACCUUCUCUUGGCUCAGAGCAACCCCAGCAAGUCAGAGAGGCUGGUAAGGUGGGUGUAGAGCACGGAAGGACAGUGCCCUUUUCUAUUGUGGUUGCUAGGCCUCUGUUAAUGCAACCUACCUUAACAUUUGCUUAUUUGGCAGCCACCACAUUGGCUUAGGUAACACUUGCAGUCAGCUUGAACUCUGAGUUCCUUCUUUCUUACAUUAUUGUUAAUAAACCAAUUUUCCCAUAUCCUAUGCUUGAGAAUCUUUUAAAGAAACCGCAUGUAAAAGUUGAUACUUUGCCCUCAUUGUAGAUUUGCAUUAUGAUGUUCAGAUUGCUUUCCUAGCUUCUUGUCAUGAGUGAACUUGGUAUGUGUACAUCCUGUCUUUAUCUAACCUAUCAAUAAGUUAUUACCAUGAACUUGGCCCAAUUUUAGUAUAUGUGCUGCAGACGUGAGCCCACCAUGAACUUGGCCCAAGACAGAACUCCCUCUUCACAAGCUUUGGUCCAUAAUCAGAGCCAUAGUUUGAUCAGCUUGCUAAAAAAAUCUGUGCAGAAAUGUCACCUCUUAAAAAAGUCCAGUCAUGCAUUAGUAGACACCUAAAGAGUUGAAAUCAGAUAUUCAAACAAAUACUCUUACAGGAACGUUCCUAUUACAGGAAUGUUCACAGCAGCAUUAUUGACAAUAGCCAAAAGGUGGAUAUAACCCAAGUGUUCAUUAACAGUUGAAUGGAUAAAUAAAAUAUGUGGUGUGCCUAAAAUAAAAUAUUAGCCAUAAAGAGGAAUAAAGUUUUGAUAACGCUAUAAUAUGGAGGGACCUCAAAAGCAUUAUGCUAAGUGAAAGAAGCCAGAAAUUAAAGGUCACAUAUAAUAUGAUUUCAUUUAAAUGAAAUAUCCAGAAUAAACAAAUCCAUAGAGAAGGAAAGCAGACUGAUGGUUACCAGGGGCCGGAGGGAGAAAGAGAUAGGGAACAACUGUUAAUGGGUACAGAGUUUUCUUUUGUUGUGAUGAAAAUGAUUUGUAACUACAUACAGGUGGCAGUUGUACAACACUGUAUAUGUAGUAAAUGCUGCUGAAUCAUGUACUAUAUGAUGGUUAAUUUUAUGUUAUGUGCAUUUCAUUUCAAUAAAAUAUACAUUUGC